rnacentral:rRNA from 1 species
UACGUAGGGGGCAAGCGUUAUCCGGAUUUACUGGGUGUAAAGGGAGCGUAGACGGCGAUGCAAGUCUGAAGUGAAAGGCGGGGGCCCAACCCCCGGACUGCUUUGGAAACUGUAUGGCUGGAGUGCAGGAGAGGUAAGUGGAAUUCCUAGUGUAGCGGUGAAAUGCGUAGAUAUUAGGAGGAACACCGGUGGCGAAAGCGGCUCUCUGGCCUGUAACUGACACUGAGGCUCGAAAGCGUGGGGAGCAAACAGG